rnacentral:rRNA from 1 species
GAUGAACGCUGGCGGCGUGCCUAAUACAUGCAAGUCGAGCGAACGGACGAGAAGCUUGCUUCUCUGAUGUUAGCGGCGGACGGGUGAGUAACACGUGGAUAACCUACCUAUAAGACUGGGAUAACUUCGGGAAACCGGAGCUAAUACCGGAUAAUAUUUUGAACCGCAUGGUUCAAAAGUAAAAGACGGUCUUGCUGUCACUUAUAGAUGGAUCCGCGCUGCAUUAGCUAGUUGGUAAGGUAACGGCUUACCAAGGCAACGAUGCAUAGCCGACCUGAGAGGGUGAUCGGCCACACUGGAACUGAGACACGGUCCAGACUCCUACGGGAGGCAGCAGUAGGGAAUCUUCCGCAAUGGGCGAAAGCCUGACGGAGCAACGCCGCGUGAGUGAUGAAGGUCUUCGGAUCGUAAAACUCUGUUAUUAGGGAAGAACAUAUGUGUAAGUAACUGUGCACAUCUUGACGGUACCUAAUCAGAAAGCCACAGCUAACUACGUG